rnacentral:rRNA from 1 species
UACGUAGGUGGCAAGCGUUGUCCGGAUUUACUGGGCGUAAAGAGCGCGCAGGCGGUCGGAUAAGUCGAAUGUGAAAGCCCCCGGCUCAACUGGGGAGGGUCAUUCGAUACUGUUCGACUCGAAGGCAGGAGAGGGAAGUGGAAUUCCCGGUGUAGUGGUGAAAUGCGUAGAUAUCGGGAGGAACACCAGUGGCGAAGGCGAACUUCCUGGCCUGUUCUUGACGCUGAGGCGCGAAAGCUAGGGGAGCAAACGGG